rnacentral:ncRNA from 16 species
GUCAGGAUGGCCGAGUGGUCUAAGGCGCCAGACUCAAGUUCUGGUCCUCUUACGAGGGCGUGGGUUCGAAACCCCACUUCUGACA